rnacentral:rRNA from 1 species
AAACACGGACCAAGGAGUCUAACAUGUGCGCGAGUCAUUGGGUUGACACUAAACCUAAAGGCGCAAUGAANGUGAAGGUCCCGCCUUGUGCGGACCGAGGGAAGAUGGGGCGUGCUCCUGCGCGACCCCCGCAUUCCCGGGGCGUCUCGUUCUCAUUGCGAGUUGAGGCGCACCCAGAGCGUACACGUUGGGACCCGAAAGAUGGUGAACUAUGCCUGGCCAGGACGAAGUCAGGGGAAACCCUGAUGGAGGUCCGUAGCGAUUCUGACGUGCAAAUCGAUCGUCGGAGCUGGGUAUAGGGGCGAAAGACUAAUCGAACCAUCUAGUAGC